AUGCUCUUCUCGUCUGCAGGUGGAUGCUUUAGCAGGACAGGUGAAGGUGGAUAAACUGCAGGAGGCUGAAAGCCAGAGAGCGUCUGAAGAGCAGAGUCCUGAAGCCUCAUCUAUAGUCUACGGUCAGCAGCUGACGUUGAGCAGCAGUCAUCCUCCCGUCUCUCCUCAGCCCAGUUUUCCAGCGUACGGCUUCACUCCCCCAGUUUACGGCUUCAACCUGCAGCCCUGAGUCCGGCCUGCGCAUCCGUCACUCCUGCUGGGAAUUCUGGGAAAUAUGUGCCUGUGCUGCAUUCAGGAAGCAUGAAAACUCUCUGCAAACACACACACAAGCGGCACGAAACACUCACAACACACACACACACCACAUGCUACUUGUUAACUUACAGCUGAACACAAUAUUAUUCACCCUCCUGUGAUAUGUUCAUUCUGCAUCUCAUUAUUGAUAUUGGGCGACACGGUGGCACAGUGAGAAGCACAAUCACCUCACAGCAAGAAGGUCGCUGGUUCGAGUCCCGGCUGGGUCACUUGGCGUUUCUGUGUGGAGUUUGCAUG